rnacentral:rRNA from 1 species
AACGAACGCUGGCGGCAGGCCUAAUACAUGCAAGUCGAACGCACUCUUCGGAGUGAGUGGCAGACGGGUGAGUAACGCGUGGGAAUCUUCCCAAUGGUACGGAAUAACUCCGGGAAACCGGUGCUAAUACCGUAUAAGCCCUUCGGGGGAAAGAUUUAUCGCCAUUGGAUGAGCCCGCGUCGGAUUAGCUAGUUGGUAGGGUAAUGGCCUACCAAGGCUUCGAUCCGUAGCUGGUCUGAGAGGAUGAUCAGCCACACUGGGACUGAGACACGGCCCAGACUCCUACGGGAGGCAGCAGUAGGGAAUAUUGGACAAUGGGCGAAAGCCUGAUCCAGCCAUGCCGCGUGAGUGAAGAAGGCCUUAGGGUUGUAAAGCUCUUUUGGCGGGGAAGAUAAUGACGGUACCCGCAGAAUAAGCUCCGGCUAACUUCGUGCCAGCCGCCGCGGUAAUU